AUUGUCAAUCCAAAGCGAAGGCGGAAGUGUUUGAAAACCUCGUCUGUUUCUUGCUCUCAAUUUAUUUGCUUUACAAUUUAUUUAAUAAAUCUGUCAAAGACUUUAACUAGAAAGUGACGCAAUGUUUCUAUGAGCUAUGAAGCAUGGCUUGCUGCCCGACCGAAGAGAAAUAUGGCUACGAAGACUGUCGAUUUGAGAAAGAUGUCGACGAAAAUUUUCAUUGUUCUAUCUGCUACAAUGUUCUUAAAGAACCAAGG